rfam:Oryza meridionalis cultivar OR44 (W2112) chromosome 9, whole genome shotgun sequence.
UUUAAGCGCAGCCAUAAGUUUUUGUGUCUAAUUUUGAUCGUCCAUUUUAUUUAAAUUUUUUUAUGAUUAAUAUUUUUAUUCUUAUUAGAAGAUAAAACAUGAAUAAUCCUUUAGUGGUGACUUAUGUUUUUAAUUUUUUUUAAAAAAAACAGAUAAGACAAAAUAUUAAAGUUAGAAAAAAAAAUAUGGUUGCGCGACGG